CACCCGCCCCCACCUUCUCCCUCACUCCCGGCGCUGCCCCGCGAUCCAUUGCAUCACGGUGGGACGAGUCAUGGCAAUGGUGACGGCGGCCGACAUGGUGUCCCGGCCGCUGCAUGUCUCCCUCCACCCGCGAUCCCGGCCGCUGCAUGUCUCCCUCCUCCCCCGAUCCCGAUCACCGCAUGUCUCCCUCCACCUGCAGCCGCACCUCUGCCCCUCGCCUCCCGCAUCGGCGCCAGAAGCCUUUUACGUCACGGAUUCGAGAGACUGGAGGCCGAUCUUGCCGGUGAGGAGACGGUGGCGGCGCCAACGAGCCGCCCCCCUUGGCGCCGUUGCCGCUGGGCACCGAGACAAAGGAGUGGUGGAUGCCAACGCCUCGAGGCCUGCCUCAAGUACAGAUCAUCAGCGGCAAAUAUUCAAUCAACAUACGACCACUGAGGGGAUCCAUCGGUGCAAUAUGAAUGAUGAAGGAGAAGAGCAACGAACACAAAUCUUCCCCAUGGCUAUUGAUUUUAUGCACAUCGGCUGCAUCAUGUGAUAUGGUAAACCAACAGAGGUAUGUGGAUAAUCCAAACUGCUUAUUUUUUGUCCGACACCGCCCCACCUUCAGUGACCUGAUUGCUAGCAAAAUGUCACAACAGGUUUGUUUCGAAGUAUCAGUUCAAAAUAUGGCGAUUGAAUAAAAAAAUACUAUCUUAUUUUUAUCUCACGGAUCAUACUUUAAAGUUAAUAAUUUUUAUAAUGCUCUGUAAUAGAGUCGUGUUGGUUGUGUAAUUCUUGAGUGAGUUACAUGUUCUCUCCAUCACCCCCUUUAUUUUUUGCAAAUCAAUUGCCUUCUUCAUGUGUUUCAGCUGCUAGGACUGAAGGCCGAAGUAAUGUAUGUUUAAUCUCAACAAUUUAGUUAUAAGUCUAAUUAAUUCAUACCAUCUCUGAAACAUUCAGUUCUAAUUGGUUGCAUACUUGCCAAAGAUCAUAUGACACAGUAGCCAUGGACGCCACAUCAGCUUGGGAACAUGGCCACAACAGAUUGGUAUCUUCUCUUCUGAAAUUGGUUGCAUACUUGCCAAAGGUCGCAUGACUCAGCAGCCAUGGACGCCACAUCUGCUUGGGAAUGUGGCCGCAACAGAUUGGUAUUUGUUGGAUGGCAACUCUAAGCUGCAUGCAUGUUCAUUGGGAGAAUCAUGAUGAAUCUUUGAUGAACACUGUCAAAGAUGAAAAGGCGAAUUCUUCGAUUCCCCGGGCUGUCAAGGAUUUUGUACUUCCAGCAGGUUUUCUAGGUGAAUGUUGGCAUCCCCGUGUGGUUUGGUUAUGCAUCUAUGCAUUGCUUUUGCUCUUUGUCAUGGAGUACUAACUGUGGAGGUUCAGGUUUACAAUCUUAGAAAUGCAGUGAUUGAUGUGUUUUCUAAUCGUAAUGCAGCAAACAAAUUGUUUUGCAAGUUAUGUACUUUAAUUAUCUGUAUCUUACCAUUCUUACCAAGUACUGUCAAAUGUA